GCACCACAAGGGGUGAAGCCUGCGGUUCAAUUGGACUCAACGCCGGGAAACUUACCAGGGGAGACAGUAGAAUGACGGUCAGGUUGACGACCUUACCUAACGAGCUGAGAGGAGGUGCAUGGCCGUCGCCAGUUCGUGCUGUGAGGUAUCCUGUUAAGUCAGGCAACGCACGCCAUCCGCGCCUUUAUUUGCCAACAAGAAGUCACGACUUCGUUGGGAACACUAAAGGGACCGCCUUCGAUAAGACGGAGGAAGGAGCGGGCAAAGGCAGGUCAGUAUGCCCCGAAACCCCUGGGCUACACGCGGGCUGCAAUGAUAUGAACAAUGGGCAGUAACUCCGAAAGGAGAAACCAAUCCCGAAAUCAUAUCUCAGUGGGGAUUGUCGGCUGUAACCCGCUGACAUGAACGUGGAAUCCCUAGUAAUCGUGUGUCAUCAUCGCACGGUGAAUACGUCUCUGCUCCUUGCACACACCGCCCGUCGCUCCAUCCGAGUGUGCUAAAAAUGAGGUCUGGUCAGUUUGGUCAUAUCGAGUUUCUAGUAUGCGAGGAGGGAG
rnacentral:rRNA from 1 species